rnacentral:misc_RNA from 1 species
GUCAAAACAAUCGCGUCGCUUGCUCUUGCGACGCGCUCUGGACCUUCGCGGCCGUAAAAUCCGGCGCUCACCGAAUCGCUCGCUCGGCGGUUUGCGUGUUGUGCCCGGUGGCCCCGUGGUCUUAAGCACAAGCCGCGCCGUUGUCCGUGUUCGUCUCGGGACGUCCGCGACGCCGCCUUGCUCUCGGCGGCGGCCAAAUUUCCUCUCCGUCACCGCUAUGCGGGACCCGGCUCGCUCUCGCUAACGGGCCCGCUUAUAACGAGCUUCAGGGUGACGGCGGAGGAGAGAAGCUUACGCUGACGCUCGCUCGACGAGUCGGCGCCCGUACGAAAAAAUAAAUAAAAAAAUAACUGUGAGUUAUUUUUUUUUAUUUUUUUUAAUCUCCGACCUCAGAUCGGACGAGAUUAC